ensembl:lncRNA
UUAUCCAUCAAAUAUCCAAGUCCCAGUUAAAUACAUGAUAUGAAAUAACACACAUAUAUUGUACCGAUUUUCUACCUCUAUCAGUGAUAAAAGAAAGAACAUCCCAUUCACACGAGAAGAGCCACUGCAGUUGUCAAGUAAACGCUCACAGAACGAACCACGCGCUCUCCACGGCAUUUAGACUAUUUUAUUAACGUCUUGACUGUGCGUAAUGACGUGAGAUGUUUAUGGGCGUGAUUUUGACAGACUGUAGUCAUGGGAUGUCAACCUGGACAAUAUCAUCUGUGUAUUCUGUAGCUAAGAGAAAAAGAAAGACUAAGCAUCACAAAUUCACAAUACAUUCAAUUUCAGUCUACAUAAGAAUUUUGUGCAAGUGUGAAAAAAAGGCAAAUAGUAUUUCCUGACACUUUGCUUCAAAAGUCUUUACUACCAUCUCAUGGCCUUUCACAGAAUUACAAUUACUAAUUAUUUGAUAGUUGUAUUCAUACACUAUAAACUAUAAAAAUAUGAACCAUUAAAAGUAAAGUAAAAUAACUGUUAGUAAGUAAAAUAACAUUUCAUUGCAUUUAUUUGAUCAGUUUGAAUUUAAAUCUUCGUAACACUCAUAAAAUUGAGUAGAAAGUAUUGUGGUUAUAAUAAGAUGUUGUUUACAAUUUUUUUCGGGGUUAAAAAAAAACCUGUGAACCGUGUGUAGCAUUGUAUGAGAUGUGUUAAUGCAGGAUCAUUUCAGAUAAUCAUUUUAGAUUUGCAGAGAAAGCUAUAGUAUUUUUGAAUAAUACUUGAAUAUUUAUGAAUAAGACUAAAACUGGAAGAACACUGAGGCACAGGAACAAUAUUUGGCUUCCAGUUAUCAUUAACUCAUGAUAGUGUCUUCUGCCUCUACAGAAUGACCUAAGCUCACAUGAUGAGGGAGAAUGGCGGUCCUAAAAACCCUACAGAAGAGAAAUAAAGAGGUCACCGUAGCCACCAGAUCCAGUCUGUAUCCAAGUCAGAGGGUCACUGCAGUCACCCGGAUCCAGUAUGUAUCCAGCCCAGAUGGUGGAUCAGCACCUAGAAAGGACCUCUACAGCCCUGAAAGACAGCGGAGACCAGGACUAGAGCCCCAGAUAAAGAUCCCCUGUAAAGACCUUGUCUCAGACGACGAUGACAUCACUGAAUUCAAUGAUGAACUGCCUUUAACUGUCAUUUUGCAUUAUUGACACUGUUUUCCUAAUUAAUGUUGUUCAGUUGCUUUGAUGCAAUCUUUUUUGUUUAAAGCGCUAUAUAAAUAAAGAUGACUUGACUUGACUUGACA